rnacentral:rRNA from 1 species
AUGGAACUGCCGGGGGGGAACCGCCGAACAGUUCGUGAGGUGUUGGCACUCUGCAAAGCCAACGUCCCCAAGCUUGUUUUUCUUUGUGAAACAAGACAAGCUUUAGACAAAAUUCAGAAACUUAAAUGGAGACUAGGGCUGAAGGGUUUCCAUGGUGUUAAUAGUGAUGGAAAAAGUGGAGGUUUAGCGUUGUUU